GGGCGAAUGGUUUAGUGGUAUAAUACUCCCUUAGCAUGUUCUCUCCGAGAUCAAAUUUGGGAGUGGUCCAGGGUUCGAUUCCCUGUUCGUCCA
rnacentral:tRNA from 1 species